rnacentral:rRNA from 1 species
ACCCGCACAAGCGGUGGAUGAUGUGGUUUAAUUCGAUGCAACGCGAAAACCUUACCCACCUUUGACAUGGCAGGAAUCCUAAAGAGAUUUGGGAGUGCUCGAAAGAGAACCUGCACACAGGUGCUGCAUGGCUGUCGUCAGCUCGUGUCGUGAGAUGUUGGGUUAAGUCCCGCAACGAGCGCAACCCUUGCCAUUAGUUGCUACGAAAGGGCACUCUAAUGGGACUGCCGGUGACAAACCGGAGGAAGGUGGGGAUGACGUCAAGUCCUCAUGGCCCUUAUAGGUGGGGCUACACACGUCAUACAAUGGCCGGUACAGAGGGUAGCCAACCCGCGAGGGGGAGCCAAUCCCACAAAGCCGGUCGUAGUCCGGAUCGCAGUCUGCAACUCGACUGCGUGAAGUCGGAAUCGCUAGUAAUCGUGGAUCAGCAUGUCACGGUGAAUACGUUCCCGGGUCUU